rnacentral:rRNA from 1 species
AUUGAACGCUGGCGGCAGGCCUAACACAUGCAAGUCGAACGAGUGGCGGACGGGUGAGUAAUGUCUGGGAAACUGCCUGAUGGAGGGGGAUAACUACUGGAAACGGUAGCUAAUACCGCAUAGCAUAAGAUGUGCCCAGAUGGGGUUAGCUAGUUGGUGGGGUAACGGAUCACCAAGGCGACGAUCCCUAGCUGGUCUUAGAGGAUGAACAGCCACACUGGGACUGGGACACGGUCCAGACUCCUACGUGACGCAGCAGUGGGGAAUGUUGGACAGUGGGUGCAAGCCUGAUACAGCCAUGCCGCGUGUAUGAAGAAGGCCUUCGGGUUGUAAAGUACUUUCAGCGGGGAAGCGGUACCCGCAGAAGAAGCACCGGCUAACUCCGUGCCAGCAGCCGCGGUAAUAC